UGGUGACAAAUCCUUUUACAGUGAUCCAGGGCCCCCGUUCUUGAUCUCCUCCACUGUGUCGAUUAGUCCUUUGGAACCGAGUUCUUGAACCCUCAUUGAAUAUUCACGUCAUUUACAUCUGCAAUUUCAUAUUACGUGUUUAUGCUUUCUUGCUUGUGUUCUUCGAUUCGCUUGCAGGAACAGCCAUCUUGGCAAGGUCAAUCAAGUUGUGCUUGGUUGAUAACCAACGGAGCAGUGGUGUAACGGUUGCAGGGUUCGAAUCGUGUUGAUUUGAAGCCGGAUCACGAACGUCGAGUUCUCCACAAUCGAAUUUAUCAACUACCUCUCGGAAGAUCGGGCCUAGUCUCAUCAAUUGGUAUCAGAUAUCUCAGGUUUACCGUGAGGUAUAAUCUCGUCUGCCCUAGAUUCAUAUUUGUUCAUAACCUACAGUCCAUAAAAAGCUCUAAAAAAAUAUAUAGUUUAAUUUUUCCGUUGUCCUAUCACCCAUUGUGCCUUGCAAUUUCGUUUUAAGAUUUGCUUUGUUGAGUUUGUGUCCUAGGUUGAGUCUAGUUGUUGGUUUUGAUUAUGUUCGUCGUCGUAGUUCAUUGCACCGUUGUUGUUCUUAGUUUCCGCUGCUAUCCCAUCCACUGUUUUUCCAAACAACAAGUCAAAUCCACCACUUUACUCGACUUGCCCCUCUAGCCGCCUUCUGUGAUCUCUCGCCGCCGCGCUAACCCUAGAUAGUUUGUCAGCCGCUGUUAUUUUGCCUGCUUCGUAGCCCUCCUUACAUCAUCAGGCGAAUACCUACUGCUGUUAGUCACAGGGAUGAUUCAUCCUGUGAUCGGUGUUGGAGUUUAGGGAUGCUUUGCCCUAACUGCCGCCGCUGCCGAUGCCGUAUUAUGUCUUGUGAAAAACAUAACUUGAGAUACAUUCGGUAAAACAGGCAUAACCUUUCGCUCGUUUAUCACAAAAAUCUGAAAUUUUUACAACAGCUUCUUGACAUCAUUUGGUCCCAACCCAAACUCGGCUUUGUCCUGUUUGGUUUCAGCAAAAUUGCCAAAAAAAUUCAGGAAAAUAAAGAAAAAAAAUUAACAAGGGUUUUGCACGCUUUUCAGAGAAAUUGCUAAAUUUUUGCAGACCACAUCUGACCUCAGUUGCAGUUGCCAAUUUUUGUGGUUACAUCUUGUGUGAUCCUUGUUCUGAUAAAAAUAUAAAAAAAAUAGUAAGAAAAUUAAAAAAUUUUGAUUCCUACUAGUGCCUUUUGGAAAAAUCCAGGAAAAAUCAGGAUAAAAGAAAAAUCUGCUCUAUUGCUUGUUUGCUGAGUUUCUUCAAUCAUACUUUGUUUCACCUUGUUGCGCUACGUCUAGACACGUCUUAGCCAGCAAUUAUGAUUUGUCCUUUGGAUACUUAUUGAACUUAGCUAACUUUGCAUUCGAAUAUUGCUAAUCCUUGCUACUCAAAGUGUGCCUGUCCAAAGCUCCACAUAUAAUUCUGUCAGCCUAGGUUCAUCUUGCAACUGUUUACCCACGCUCAACAAUAGAUUACUUUGCCAAUUUGGUUUUUGCUCCUGUUUGGCUUUGGUAAGAACACUUGUAAGACGGUGGUAAGCCGCUUCUGAUUUUGUAUUCCACUUUUACCACCACCACC
rnacentral:lncRNA from 1 species